CCUACGGGUGGCAGCAGUGAGGAAUAUUGGUCAAUGGGCGCGAGCCUGAACCAGCCAAGUAGCGUGAAGGAUGACUGCCCUACGGGUUGUAAACUUCUUUUAUAAAGGAAUAAAGUGAGGCACGUGUGCCUUUUUGUAUGUACUUUAUGAAUAAGGAUCGGCUAACUCCGUGCCAACAGCCGCGGUAAUCCGGAGGAUCCGAUCGUUAUCCGGAUUUAUUGGGUUUAAAGGGAGCGUAGAUGGGUUGUUAAGUCAGUUGUGAAAGUUUGCGGCUCAACCGUAAAAUUGCCAUUGAUACUGGGAGCGUGGAGUACAGUUAGGGUAGGAGGAAUGCGUGGUGUAGCGGUGAAAUGCUUAGAUAUCACGAAGAACUCCGAUUGCGAAGGCAGCUUACUAAACUGCCACUGACAUUGAUGCUCGAAAGUGUGGGUAUCAAACAGGAUUAGAUACCCGAGUAGUC
rnacentral:rRNA from 1 species